UUUAAUUGGAGGUUAAUUACUUUACAAUACUGCAGUGGUUUUUGUCAUACAUUGACAUGAAUCAACCAUGGGUGUAUAUGUGUACCUACUCUUACUAAAUUCUAGGUUUAUGGAUGGGAGUGUCUGCUGGAAUGAAGGAGAAAGUUUUUAUUUGAGGUGAAUUGUUCUUGGAGCUUUGGACUUCAUGGAAAAUGAGAGUCCUUGACAAACCCUAUAAGCCACUUCCCCACCCUACUCAUUGUAUAAAUAUAACUUGGAGUUGCCUCUUCAUUACGGAGUGUGAACUAUGUUAAUUUUCAGUUCAUUAGUUGAAUUCAGGCUGCCCAAGGCUCUGAACGACUCCAUACCCAGGAAAGUUUCGAUCAGAGGUGGGAAGGACUGAAACUCUGCACAGUCUGGCAUAUGGUAGAUAUUAAACUCAUAUUUAUGAAUCAUGAAGAGAAUGAGAGGCCCCAAAACAAAAUCUUCAAAGUCCAUUACAUUGAGUUGCUAGAGGAGGUUCCUGUUCUGUGAAGAUGUUUAUUGUUUGAAGGGCCUGUAGGCAGCUUGGGUAUUGUCAGUAUUGAUUUGUUUGAUCCGAUUCCUUACUUUAAGUUAGAGUCAGGAAUUCUUUAAGGACAGAAAUUAUUGUAUACACUUCUAUAUGAUCCCCUGGAUUUAUAACAAUGCUUCAUAAAUAGUAGUAUCUGAAUAAAACUUGGAGGAUGAUUGCUAUGACUGAAUGUUUGUGUCCCCCAAAAGUCAUAUGUUGAAAUCCUACUGCCCCAAUAGAUGUUUUUAGAAAGUGAGGUUUGGGGAAGGUACUUGGGUUAUGAGGAUGAUGCUCAUGAAUGGGAUUAGUGGUCUGAUGGAAGAGAAUCCCACAGAGCUCCCUCACCUUUUCUGCCACGUGAGUAGCAUAUGAACUAACUACUAAUGAGAUGACUAUGAGUUUUUUUUUUAAUUCUCUUUCAGGAUGAUAUAGGUAAAUUCAGAAAGUCUCAAUAUUUUCUUCAAACAUCCAAAAUUCUCUCUUUUCAAGCUACAUUGCUAUAGUGUUUCAGUGACUUCCCAGUGGUAACAGAGCACC
ensembl:lncRNA